AACGAACGCUGGCGGCAUGCCUAACACAUGCAAGUCGAACGAGACCUUCGGGUCUAGUUGCGCACGGGUGCGUAACGCGUGGGAACCUGCCCUUAGGUUCGGAAUAACUCCCCGUAAGGGGUGCUAAUACCGCAUAAUGUCUUCGGACCAAAGAUUUAUGGCCUUUGGAUGGGCCCGCGUUGGAUUAGCUAGUUGGUAGGGUAAAAGCCUACCAAGGCGAUGAUCCAUAGCUGGUCUGAGAGGAUGAUCAGCCACACUGGGACUGAGACACGGCCCAGACUCCUACGCGAGGCAGCAGUGGAGAAUAUUGGACAAUGGACGAAAGCGUGAUCAAGCAAUGCCGCGUGAGUGAUGAAGGCCUUAGGGUUGUAAAGCUCUUUUACCCGAGAUGAUAAUGACAGUACCGGGAGAAUAAGCUCCGGCUAACUACGUG
rnacentral:rRNA from 1 species